rnacentral:rRNA from 1 species
UACGGGGGGAGCAAGCGUUGUUCGGAUUUACUGGGCGUAAAGGGCGCGUAGGCGGUCAGCACAAGUCAAUUGUGAAAUCUCCGAGCUUAACUCGGAAAGGUCAACUGAAACUGUGCGACUAGAGUGCGGAAGGGGCAACUGGAAUUCUUGGUGUAGCGGUGAAAUGCGUAGAUAUCAGGAGGAACACCGGUGGCGAAGGCGGGUCUCUGGGCCGAUACUGACGCUGAGGAGCGAAAGCGUGGGGAGCGAACAGG